UAUCUACUUCUAUCUAUCGAUUUCCAUCUCUCUAUUUCUAUCUGUCUAUCUGAUUAUCUGACUCACACUCACUUAUACUCACUCACAAUCAUUGUCACUCACUCCCUUUCACUUUUACUCACUCACUCUCUCACUUUUACUCUCUCUUACACCUCACUUUUACUCACUCACUCUCUCACUUUCACUUUUAUUCAUUCUCACUCCCACUUACUUUUACUUACUCUCUCUCACACUCACUCACUCAUGUUUACUCACUCUCACUCACACACU